rnacentral:rRNA from 1 species
UACGUAGGGUGCUAGCGUUGCUCGGAAUUACUGGGCGUAAAGGGAGCGUAGGCGGGUUAUCAAGUUGGAGGUGAAAGCCCAGGGCUCAACCUUGGAAUUGCCUUCAAAACUGAUAGCCUAGAGUAUGAUAGAGGUAAGUGGAACUCCGAGUGUAGAGGUGAAAUUCGUAGAUAUUCGGAAGAACACCAGUGGCGAAGGCGACUUACUGGAUCAUGACUGACGCUGAGGCUCGAAAGCGUGGGGAGCAAACAGG